rnacentral:rRNA from 1 species
UACGGGGGGGGCAAGCGUUGUUCGGAAUUACUGGGCGUAAAGGGCUCGUAGGCGGCCAACUAAGUCGGAUGUGAAAUCCCCAGGCUUAACCUGGGAACUGCAUCCGAUACUGGAUGGCUUGAAUUCGGGAGAGGGAUGCAGAAUUCCAGGUGUAGCGGUGAAAUGCGUAGAUAUCAGGAGGAACACCGGUGGCGAAGGCGGGUCUCUGGGCCGAAAUUGACGCUGAGGAGCGAAAGCGUGGGGAGCAAACAGG